AUUGAACGCUGGCGGCAGGCCUAACACAUGCAAGUCGAGCGAGCGGCGGACGGGUGAGUAAUGUAUGGGGAACUGCCUGAUGGAGGGGGAUAACUACUGGAAACGGUAGCUAAUACCGCAUACUAUCGGAUGUACCCAUAUGGGAUUAGCUAGUAGGUGGGGUAACGGCUCACCUAGGCGACGAUCCCUAGCUGGUCUGAGAGGAUGACCAGCCACACUGGAACUGAGACACGGUCCAGACUCCUACGGGAGGCAGCAGUGGGGAAUAUUGCACAAUGGGCGCAAGCCUGAUGCAGCCAUGCCGCGUGUAUGAAGAAGGCCUUAGGGUUGUAAAGUACUUUCAGCGGGGAGGCGUUACUCGCAGAAGAAGCACCGGCUAACUCCGUGCCAGCAGCCGCGGUAAUAC
rnacentral:rRNA from 1 species